GACGAACGCUGGCGGCGUGCCUAAUACAUGCAAGUCGAACGCAGUGGGGACGGGUGAGUAACACGUGGGUAACCUCCCAUCAGAGGGGAUAACACUUGGAAACCGGUGCUAAACCGAUACUGAUGGAUGGACCCGCGGUGCAUUAGCUAGUUGGGGAGGUAACGGCUCACCAAGGCCACGAUGCAUAGCCAGCCUGAGAGGGGGAUGGGCCACACUGUGACUGAGACACGGCCCAGAAUCCUACGGGAGGCAGCAGGAGGGAAUCUUCGGCAAUGGACGAAAGUCUGACCGCGCAACGCCGCGUGAGUGAAGAAGGUUUUCGGAUCGUAAAACUCUGUUGUUAGAGAAGCGGGAUCUAAAAAGAAAGCAACGGCUAACUACGUGCCAGCCGCCGCGGUAAUUG
rnacentral:rRNA from 1 species